GGGCCCGUAGUCUAGCUUGGUUAGGAUGCCCGCCUGACGAUGCAUGGCAUCAGAUCGCGGGAGAUCCCGGGUUCAAGUCCCGGCGGGCCCA
rnacentral:tRNA from 1 species